ensembl:lncRNA
CUCUUUAUGUGUGUGCGUGUGUGCGGAUGAACAAGUUUGGUACAAAGUAGCCCAAAGACCAGCUGCAGUACAGAUUAGAGAUUGUGUGGUUUUCUGGUUGACUGGAUUGUUUCUCAUCUUUAGCUGUUUCCUCUCUGACAGAACUCCUAUGUCUUAUCUGAGUGCCACAGCCUUUCAUGAAUCUUUAUAUAGCUCUGUUGCCAUGGGCAUCAUUGUGGAUACACAGCCUGACACUAACCAAGAGAAACGACAGAAAGAUAAUUCAGAGAAAAGACAAAGUUCAGACCAAAACCGCUGAAAGGCCAGGUGUAGUUCCUCAAUCAUCAAAACCAGCCUAAAUGGACUUGGACCAGCUAGAAAUAAGGGUAACACUUUAUGAUGUUUUAUUUAUUUACAUUAGUUAACUACAUUAUACAUUAUACAACAAUAUAAAAUAACAAUACUUCUACAGCAUUUAUUAAUAUACUAAUUACUAACUACUGAACUAACAUGAACAAACACUGAACAAUUGUAUUUUUUAUUAACAGUAACUGAUUAAUAAAUGCUGUAAAAAGUACACUGCUCAAUUAGUAAUGUUAACUAAUGCAUUGUCUAAUGUUAACAAAUGAGACCUUGUUGUAAACUUACUUAAAUCAGUUACAAUUCUGCUUACUUUUG